rnacentral:rRNA from 1 species
ACAGUUGUUAAAGCGGGGGAUUCGUAAGACCUCGCGCCUAGAGAUGAGCUUGCGGCAGAUUAGCUAGUUGGCAGGGCAACGGCCUACCAAGGUUUCGAUCUGUAGCCGGCCUGAGAGGGCGGACGGCCACACUGGCACUGACAUACGGGCCAGACUCCUACGGGAGGCAGCAGUCGGGAAUUUUGGGCAAUGGGCGAAAGCCUGACCCAGCAACGCCGCGUGAAGGAUGAAGCUUCUCGGAGUGUAAACUUCAUAAGAAUGGGACGAAUAAGUGGGGGAUAGCACCCCCCAUGAUGACGGUACCAUUUGUAAGCUCCGGCUAACUCCGUGCCAGCAGCCGCGGUAAUACGGGGGGAGCAAGCGUUGUUCGGAUUUACUGGGCGUAAAGGGCGCGUAGGCGGCGCAACAAGUCACUUGUGAAAUCUCCGGGCUUAACCCGGAGCGGCCAAGUGAUACUGUCGUGCUAGAGUGCGGAAGGGGCUACUGGAAUUCUCGGUGUAGCGGUGAAAUGCGUAGAUAUCGAGAGGAACACCUGCGGCGAAGGCGGGUAGCUGGGCCGACACUGACGCUGAGGCGCGAAAGCCAGGGGAGCGAACGGGAUUAGAUACCCCGGUAGUCCUGGCCUUAAACGAUGGAUACUUGGUGUCCGGGGUUACAUAGUCCCCGGGUGCCGGCGCUAACGCAUUAAGUAUCCCGCCUGGGGAGUACGGUCGCAAGACUGAAACUCAAAGGAAUUGACGGGGACCCGCACAAGCGGUGGAGCAUGUG